GGGUGACGAUUUUUCAGGGCGGAACCAAAAGUUGAAGAAGUUUGGUUCCGCCCGGAUGUUUCCGCCCCGACCGGAAAAACAGAAACACCGGACAUCCGGUGGCUCCGCGAAGGCUGUAAUCAGCCGAUUGGGCACAGCUGUGCCUAGUUGAAGAGAUCGCCGAGUAAUUGGAUAACUGGAGUACAAAGAGGAGUAUAAAAAGCGCAGUUAGAGGACAGUUGUGUUCGUUGUUAGUGUGUGCUGAGGAACGGAGCUGUGCUCAUUGUCAGACGUGGUGACUGUCUGUAUUUCUCUCUCUCUCCCUCUCUCACUGUAGUUGACGGUGGACCUGCUGGAGUAAACGGAAAAUCCGAUGAGUAGAAAGGAACUUUGGUUUAACCAGUACUUUUGAAGGAGUAAAGCAGGAAGAAAACUGACCUUGUUGUACAACGUAAACAAAGGCUAUCCGCUGUGAGUAUACUUGGUUGGUGUGGAGUAAACUGCAGAGAUUAACCUGUGUGAUCGUUGGAGUCCUCGAGGAGGAAACGGGCGGCCCUGCCCCUAUAAUAGCGUGGUGGGCGAGCCGCUGGAAGCAUAGAUCCAAAACAGCACAGCAACGAGACUUUAUUUCGGUCGUGUUUGCCAUCGCCCCUAUUUAGCCCAAGCGCAGUGGAGGACACCGGGCGCUUUUCCUUGUGGUGUUGCACUUAUAGCGUGACGAAGCCCCGUACAUCCAUCUUCUCUACUGGGCAGAGGACGGAGGGGCUAACGACCUCAGAAAUUUCUGCUACCAUACGCUGUGUGCUGUUUCGGAGGACGAAGGGACGCGGACCAAGAGCUGUCCAGGGCUGUGAGUGAAGUAUUGGAAGUAUUCGUGGUGUACACUUACCUGUGUCUGUCUUUUGUCGCAGAGUCAGAGGCGAAAGAGUCCGCCGCCCCCGCGGUCCCUACAAAGGGGCGCCCCUGUCCAGGAUUCGAUCAGCCUACGGGCAGUGGAGAUAGGGCAGCGCUCGACCCGGUGAGGUGGUGUGUGACCUUCGCCCCUCUGCUGACCUACGGAGAAGAAAAAGCCAUACCUAUCCAGAAAGCUGUAGGUAGCAGAGCCGGUGAGAAAUACUUGAAGUCUCAGUAACAGUGCCUUUGUGUCCUAGUGGCCACCUGUGGAGAGAGAGAAGAACGAGAGCGAAUAAUUGAAGAACAGACUGUGAACGUGAUACCUACCCAGAAAGCUGUAUGCAGCAGAGUCGGUGAGAAAUACUCGAAGUCUCAGUAACAGUGUCUUUGUGUCUUAGCGGCCACCUGUGGAGAGAGAGAAGAACGAGAAUGAAUAAGUGAAGAACAGACUGUGAACGUGAUACCUACCCAGAAAGCUGUAUGCAGCAGAGUCGGUGAGAAAUACUCGAAGUCUCAGUAACAGUGUCUUUGUGUCCUAGCGGCCACCUGUGGAGAGAGAGAAGAACGAGAGUGAAUAAUUGAAGAACAGACUGUGAACGUGAUACCUACCCAGAAAGCUGUAUGCAGCAGAGCCGGUGAGAAAUACUCGAAGUCUCAGUAACAGUGUCUUUGUGUCCUAGUGGCCACCUGUGGAGAGAGAGAAGAACGAGAGUGAACCAUUGAAGAACAGACUGUGAACGUGAUACCUACCCAGAAAGCUGUAUGCAGCAGAGUCGGUGAGAAAUACUCGAAGUCUCAGUAACAGUGUCUUUGUGUCCUAGCGGCCACCUGUGGAGAGAGAGAAGAACGAGAGCGGAUAAUUGAAGAACAGACUGUGAACGUGAUACCUACCCAGAAAGCUGUAUGCAGCAGAGUCGGUGAGAAAUACUCGAAGUCUCAGUAACAGUGUCUUUGUGUCCUAGCGGCCACCUGUGGAGAGAGAGAAGAACGAGAGUGAACCACUGAAGAACAGACUGUGAAUGUGAUACCUACCCAGAAAGCUGUACGCAGCAGAACCGGUGAGACAUACUCGAAGUCCAAGUAACAGUACCUUUGUGUCCUAGUGGCCGCCUGAGGAGAGAAAGGAGGACGAGAGUGAACAAUCGGAGGACAGACGGUGUAACGCGCUACCUACCCCGAGAGCUGUAGGCGGCAGAACCGGUGAGAAGCAUACCAAAUCCACACUAACCGUGUUUCUGUGUCGCAGUGAACACCUGCGGGGGACGUGAAGGCACGUGGGGCGAGGACCCCCUGCCGGACCGAGGAAAGGUUCACGGACAGUGGAAAAACUCCUACCAGUCACACCGAAAUUGUUCUGCCUCCAGGAAAGAAGAAGGAGGGCGCCACGGUUAACAGGGUCCAGGCCGGAGCCUGACGAUUCCCUCUUUCUCCCGGCUUAUGGUGAUUGACACCCCUGUUGCCCUUGCCCCUGUUUGCCCGUGGCUGCAGUCUCCCUGGAGGGAGGAGAAGAAGCCUAUUAGUUUUAAAUCCCCCUUUCCCCAAUUCCCCAGUUCUUUUAAAUAUUUAAAUUCAAUAAAGCUUGUUUUAAAUUUUA